AAAAAAGGAGAUGUGUUAAGGGUAUGAAAUAUAAAGAGGAAAUUAAAGGCGAUGUCCGGACAUAUUCAGGGAAACUAUGGAAAAACAGUUGACGUUUUUUGUUAUACGAUGACAGGGAGGCAGAAGGGAACAUGGAUCAGGGAAGAAAAUGAACGAUCAGCAAAACCAGGAAUUGAAAGAGAGAUAAAAGGUGAAGAAAUUUGAAGAUGCAAAGGAAGAUGAGAAACAGAAAUCAGCAAGUAGGGAGAAACAUGGCAUCGAGCAGGAAGAGCAAGAGAGAUGACCCACUCAUUUUAGCCCAUCUCUGAAGACUGUGAGCCAGAAAGGAAGUCAGCGAAAGACAGUGGCACCACUUCAUUGCUUAUGAUGGUGAUGGAACUUUCCAUGACCUCAAAAACUAUUUGUCUGUGUGUGAAGUGAGUACAUUAAAUGGGUA